rnacentral:rRNA from 1 species
AUUGAACGCUGGCGGCAGGCCUAACACAUGCAAGUCGAACGAGUGGCGGACGGGUUUGUAAUGUUUGGGAAACUCCCUGAUGGUGGGGGAAAACUCCGGGAAACGGUCGCUAAUACCGCAUACCCUCAGAAGUCCCCAGAUGGGAUUAGAUUUUUGGUGGGGUAACGGCUCACCCAGGCGCAGCUCCCUAGCUGGUCUGAGACGAUGACCAGCAACACUGGAACUGAGACACGGGCCAGACUCCUACGGGAGGCAGCAGUGGGGAAUAUUGCACAAUGGGCGCAAGCCUGAUGCAGCCAUGCCGCGUGUAUGAAGAAGGCCUUCGGGUUGUAAAGUACUUUCAGCGGGGAGGCGUUACCCGCAGAAGAAGCACCGGCUAACUCCGUGCCAGCAGCCGCGGUAAUAC